AUGGAAAAUAAGUGUACUGAUUGUAACAGAGAUAAAUUACUGCUUUAGUCAUGAUGAGUCAGGAUAGCAUCUGAGAUAUUGAAAGGUUUUCACUGGGGUGGUCUCAUUUUUUGAUCAUGAUUUUCAGGUUUUGAAAAUUGUAGGUAAGCAGCUACGAAACAACACCCCACGUUACCUUUGUAUUUUGCAACAUGUAAAAUAAGCCUUUAGGCAGAUAAAAUGAAACAUACAGAAGCCUUCUGAGUUUUAUGGCAGCUAAGAGCAUUUUUUAUCCCAAGAACUUUAAAAAUAGCAUCUUUGUGCAUUUAUCUCUCAGGGCUUUUGUGAUUUUUUUGAGAGUCGAUUGAGCCUUCUUAUCCCAGCUUCCUUGAACUUUUGGUUGUGAGUGGCAAAGACCUAAAGUCAGGUACAUUUCCUUAACUGUCCCCUAAAGUAUUGGUCCUUAAUUCCUGUGAACAACUGUAAUAAGCUGCUUUUUGAAGGUCAUUUACACCUGCAUUGCUAAGGUAUUCAGUGCCAUAAAAAGAUUUGACAAAGCACUACUCAUCUGGGCAGAAUUUUAAGCAUGACAUUAACUGUGUUUAACUCUGCUUGGUAUCAGUGGGGCUCACAAUGAGUUCUGAAUGUUUCACUGAAUAAGGAUGGAUUCAAGCAGGUGCAUAUUGUUAAGCAGGCACAUAAGUACCUAAGAGAGAUAAAUGGAGAGAGUUACAGAGCAGCUGGUAUCUCUGCUGUCCUAUCAACGCGAUUCCAUUUGGUGAGCAGGCUAUGUUACGGUCAUGAAAUGUGGUCUAAUAGAAGGAUCAUCAAGAUGUCAACGUAGCUGGGAACAGAGAGUGUGGGGGUAACAUCCAGAAUUCCUGGGUUUUCUUCAUAAUUUUAAGGAGGCCCCAUUUUACUCGUAUGUGCGCUGUGUGGUUUUCCUGGCACUCCCAGACUUGUAAUGGUAGCUCUGUAUUGAUCUGUCACUUCCUCCUUCUUUGGAUGAGAAUUUAUUUCACACACAUACACCACUCAGUUCAUGCUCUGGUCUGUUGGGAAUAUUUAGCCCUCUCGUGAUACCCAGCCCAAUUUGAAGAAAUCAAUUCAUUCAGACUUGUGAAGACAAUGAUCCUGCAGAAGGAAAAUAAAUGAGCAGCGGAUGUUUACUCUAAUGGAUGAUGAAAAGCUAAAGUGUUUUAAACACUAAUUUAUUGCCAUUGAGACUAGCAGUUGGAUUUAGGCACAGGAAGGGCUGAAGCUCCUGAAUUGGUUCACUUUCUUGCUGACAUCUCCAUUUUUCUAGUUUAAAACCCAAAGUUUGUAUUAAUUAGUUAAAGUGGACAGUGUCUGUAAGGCACAGCAGAUGGGCAUGAAUUUUGUCUGAGGUUCCAGUUCUUAAGCAGUCGUCCUACAGCCUAUGUUAAUGUUAGUUAUAGAAGAGACUUAACCCUGUUGCUCUUCUGACUAUUUCCAGUGUACAUCUAUUUGGGAGGUAAUGAAAUCAGAGCUGUACUUGCUGACUGGCAGUUUAUCAGUUGGGGACAUAAUUCUGGACACAAUUGUAUACAAAAGCAAACUGAACUACUCAGCAUAAAGAGAUUAAAACUUUGAGGAGGCCUGGCAGUGUUUGGAGCUAUUAUUAAUUAGUAUUGUGACCAUCAUCUGAUCUCUGAAGCCUGGGUAAAGUCCUGUUUGCCACUGUGGUAAGUGCUAUCCCAAGAAAAAAUAAAGAAUGUGCUUGCACCAAUGUGCUUAGGAAUGGAGGAUAAGAAAACAAUGAGGAGGCUGCAGAAAACAUGGUAAGCAGGGAUAUUUGCAGAGCUAUCUCUGCAGUCCUGAUUUGCAGAGAGUAAUCGUGGCAAUCUUUUUUUGUGCAAUUAGGACCUGCUACAACAGAAAUAGUUUAUAGUUUCUUUGGAGCAGUUUCAGUAUUCAGAGACCAGCAUGGUAGCAUCUCAUGUGCAUUUGAUAUGGAAUGGGAAUGCUGAGUCUCAGGGAGAAGAGAGGGUGGGUGCUAGGCUAAAUUUGAAAGAAUAGUGUACAGGUGUAGCAGCUGUAGCUUCCCCAGGUAAAAUGCACUUUUGGGAGCAUGUCUCCUUUUAGAUCCUCUGCAGAGGUAAAUCACAGUCUUUCCAGCAUUACACUAUCUCCUGUAGGAGAAAAAUAAAAGGUUUUAAAAGUGCAGACAGGCACUGAACCAUUUUACAGCCCUGACUAUCCCAGCAGGAUUGACAAAGGCCAAAUGCUCAGCUUCACUAAAUGUAUUUCAUUGAAUGGUAUUGACAUUUUCCAUCUUCCCUUUCAUUAUGCCCCUUCCAAAAUCAUUAUGUAUAGGAAUGAAUUAUCUUCCAAGUGGAAAUGAAAGAAUAUAUAGUCUUUUUUCAAAGGCUUUGAGUUUUACUUUUGUACAGAGGGAGUUGGGCUAGGAACUAUCAGUGGGCAUGCACAUAGGAAUAUUUUUGUGUUCCUCCCUUCCAUGAAACUUGCAGGAGUUGGUGCUGAGAGGUGUAUGGGGAAAGCUGCUCCCACUGAGCCGUACCAUAGGCAGUGUGUUGCUUCAUGCUGGGUUUGCCAUUGCUCCUUCAAGGUGUGUGGCUUUGUUCCUAUGCCAAAAAAAACAACAACAACAAAAAAACAACAACAACAAAAAAAAACUCAGAGAUGGCUUGGAAGUAAAAUGUUCACAAGUCAAGAAAUGCGAUAUUCAAUUUCACAUGUCAGCUUCAAGUCUGAUGCUGAUAAUCACUGCCUUAGAGUACACUCCUCCUUCAUGCCCUUGCUUUAAUCAUUUCACAGUCCUAAAACAGCACUCAGACCAUCAUGGUUGUUAUCACUGCUGCUCCCCUCCAAAUAGUGAAGCUUUGCUGGUCCCACUGGAGGCUUUAGAUCAUCUCAGCUGUUUGUCACAAACCAACCUCAUCUUUGAGUUUCUAUAUCCACCCCAAACCUACAUUAUGCCAUGGGUGUAUGAUUUCUACAGCACAGUGCAUCCAGAGCUUUGCAAGCUGAGCCCUGAAGAGGCAGGUUCAUCUGACAAUGUUGUGUAUCUGUUAACACACAGAUUCACUGCAACAGGCUGGCCACUUAGGCCGAGAAAAUACAAGAGAUUGCAU